rfam:Hordeum vulgare subsp. vulgare, WGS project CAJW01000000 data, contig: morex_contig_245253
CAAGUACUCCCUCCGUCUCAAAAUUCUUGUCUCAGCUUUGUCUAGAAAUAGAUGUAUCUAAAUACUAAAACUUAACUAGAUACAUUCAUAUAUAAACAAAUCUAAUACAAGAAUUUUGGAACGGAGGGAGUACUUU